AUCUAGCUGACGAGUCCCAAAUAGGACGAAACGUGCAUCAAAGUGGAU
rnacentral:hammerhead_ribozyme from 1 species